CCCAAGGCUCUUUUAAGAGCCACUCACUUGAAUCCCAGAAAGAGCU
rfam:Scleropages formosus scaffold15903, whole genome shotgun sequence.